rnacentral:rRNA from 1 species
GAUAAGCGCCGGUAAGGUGAUAUGAACCGUUAUAACCGGCGAUACCCGAAUGGGGAAACCCAGUGUGAUUCGUCACACUAUCAUUAACUGAAUCCAUAGGUUAAUGAGGCGAACCGGGGGAACUGAAACAUCUAAGUACCCCGAGGAAAAGAAAUCAACCGAGAUUCCCCCAGUAGCGGCGAGCGAACGGGGAGGAGCCCAGAGCCUGAAUCAGCAUGUGUGUUAGUGGAAGCGUCUGGAAAGGCGCGCGAUACAGGGUGACAGCCCCGUACACAAAAGCGCAUGUGCUGUGAGCUCGAUGAGUAGGGCGGGACACGUGGUAUCCUGUCUGAAUAUGGGGGGACCAUCCUCCAAGGCUAAAUACUCCUGACUGACCGAUAGUGAACCAGUACCGUGAGGGAAAGGCGAAAAGAACCCCGGCGAGGGGAGUGAAAAAGAACCUGAAACCGUGUACGUACAAGCAGUGGGAGCACAGGUUUACCUGUGUGACUGCGUACCUUUUGUAUAAUGGGUCAGCGACUUAUAUUCUGUAGCAAGGUUAACCGAAUAGGGGAGCCGGAGGGAAACCGAGUCUUAAUUGGGCGUUAAGUUGCAGGGUAUAGACCCGAAACCCGGUGAUCUAGCCAUGGGCAGGUUGAAGGUUGGGUAACACUAACUGGAGGACCGAACCGACUAAUGUUGAAAAAUUAGCGGAUGACCUGUGGCUGGGGGUGAAAGGCCAAUCAAACCGGGAGAUAGCUGGUUCUCCCCGAAAGCUAUUUAGGUAGCGCCUCGUGAAUUCAUCUCCGGGGGUAGAGCACUGUUUCGGCUAGGGGGCCAUCCCGGCUUACCAACCCGAUGCAAACUGCGAAUACCGGAGAAUGUUAUCACGGGAGACACACGGCGGGUGCUAACGUCCGUCGUGAAGAGGGAAACAACCCAGACCGCCAGCUAAGGUCCCAAAGUCAUGGUUAAGUGGGAAACGAUGUGGGAAGGCCCAGACAGCCAGGAUGUUGGCUUAGAAGCAGCCAUCAUUUAAAGAAAGCGUAAUAGCUCACUGGUCGAGUCGGCCUGCGCGGAAGAUGUAACGGGGCUAAACCAUG